CGAGUGUACACUUCGAGAGAAAGGAGACGCACUUUGUGAGCAGUAUCUGCGCACCAGACACACCGUGCGCAUGCUGGUCUACCAUUAUUUUCGCGCGCUCCAGCAUCCAUCACUCGACUCACAACUUCACUGAGGAAAACUGACAGUGGAUGAAUGUAUGAUGGCGCCACCUCAGGACCCACAGUUGGAGAAGCUGGUUGAUGAGGUGCUUAAGAACAGCAAUUUUCAGGCAUUGGGUGACUUCUUGCAAGAUGAUGAGGGAACAACUUGGAGAUGUUCCAAACAAUUCCUUGCCAAAUUGGACAAACUUGUUAGUAGGGAAUUAGAUCACAGAAAUGUCAAGCAUGCUUGUUUGGGACUCACAAUCCUGCACAAAUUUGGGAAAAACCUGGCUUUACCUGGAGGUCAAGGCUUAUCUGGGAUGGUACUCCAAGGUCUUGUCAAAAAGAUAAGCAUUUCAACCCUAUUAUACACCCAGUUGCCAGUGUAUUAGGUAUACCACCCCGUUCAUGAAAACAUUUUUUUCCUAUAGACAGUGAGUCACGUGGUAGUUGCUUGCUAUAUACGCAGGCAGAUAGGCAGAGGCAUUCAGUUACUGUUCGAUUUAACAUUAGAAUGGGCAAAACGAGUGACCUAAGCAAUUUUGAGCGUGGUAUGAUCGUCAGUGCUGGUUCCAGUAUUUAAAAAACAGCCAGCCUCCUGGGCUUUUCAUGCACAACACUGUCUAGGGUUUACCGAGAAUAGUGCAACAAACAAAAAAGAGCCAGUCAGCGGCAGUACUGUGAGCGAAAAACAGCUUGUUGAUUGGAGGUUCGAAGGAGAAUGGCAAGAAUCGUGCAAGUAAUGGGCGGGCCACAAACAGGCAAAUAACAACACAGUACAACUGUGGUUGUCCAGAACAGCAACUCGUCAGUCCUUGUCACAGAUGGGCUAUUGCAGCAGACGACCACACCAGGAGUGGGGUUCCCCUCCUAUCAGCUAAAAACAAGAAGAAGGGGCUCCAUUGGGCACGCAAUCACCAACAAUAGACAAUUGAGGAGUGGAAAAACAGCCUGGUCCGACUAAUCCCGGUUGCUGUUGAGUCAUGCUGACGGCAGAGUCAGGAUUUGGCGUAAGUAGCAUGAGUCCAAGGCCCCAUCCUGCCUGGUGUCAACGGUACAGGCUGGUGAUGGUUUUGAGGUGUGGGGAAUGUUUUCCUGGCACACGUUAGGUCCCUUGAUACCAAUUGGAACAAUGUUUCCAUGCCCUGAAGAAUUCAGACUGUUUUGGAUGCAAAGAAGGGGUCUGACCCGGUACUAGGUUGGUGUACCUAAUAAACUGGCCACUGCGUAUAUGGCCACCCUACAUUUAUAACCAUAUUAUAGCAGGCUUAUGUUUGUUGUAUGAGCUAUACAUUAUGUGAAUAUAUUUAUAUUGAGUGGUGGAU